GCAACUCGCCUGCAUGAAGUUGGAAUUGCUAGUAAUCGCGAAUCAGAAUGUCGCGGUGAAUACGUUCCCGGGCCUUGUACACACCGCCCGUCACACCAUGAGAGUCGAUAACACCCGAAGCCUGUGAGCUAACCUUUUAGGAGGCAGCAGUCGAAGGUGGGGUUGAUGAUUGGGGUGAAGUCGUAACAAGGUAUC
rnacentral:rRNA from 1 species